rnacentral:rRNA from 1 species
CCUAAUACAUGCAAGUAGAACGCUGAAGGAGGAGCUUGCUUCUCCGGAUGAGUUGCGAACGGGUGAGUAACGCGUAGGUAACCUGCCUGGUAGCGGGGGAUAACUAUUGGAAACGAUAGCUAAUACCGCAUAAGAGUAGAUGUUGCAUGACAUUUGCUUAAAAGGUGCAAUUGCACCACUACCAGAUGGACCUGCGUUGUAUUAGCUAGUUGGUGGGGUAACGGCUCACCUAGGCGACGAUACAUAGCCGACCUGAGAGGGUGAUCGGCCACACUGGGACUGAGACACGGCCCAGACUCCUACGGGAGGCAGCAGUAGGGAAUCUUCGGCAAUGGGGGCAACCCUGACCGAGCAACGCCGCGUGAGUGAAGAAGGUUUUCGGAUCGUAAAGCUCUGUUGUAAGUCAAGAACGAGUGUGAGAGUGGAAAGUUCACACUGUGACGGUAGCUUACCAGAAAGGGACGGCUAACUACGUGCCAGCAGCCGCGGUAAUACGUAGGUCCCGAGCGUUGUCCGGAUUUAUUGGGCGUAAAGCGAGCGCAGGCGGUUUGAUAAGUCUGAAGUUAAAGGCUGUGGCUCAACCAUAGUUCGCUUUGGAAACUGUCAAACUUGAGUGCAGAAGGGGAGAGUGGAAUUCCAUGUGUAGCGGUGAAAUGCGUAGAUAUAUGGAGGAACACCGGUGGCGAAAGCGGCUCUCUGGUCUGUAACUGACGCUGAGGCUCGAAAGCGUGGGGAGCGAACAGGAUUAGAUACCCUGGUAGUCCACGCCGUAAACGAUGAGUGCUAGGUGUUGGAUCCUUUCCGGGAUUCAGUGCCGCAGCUAACGCAUUAAGCACUCCGCCUGG